GUGAACUACUUCUUUAAUAUUAGGCUCACAAGUGAAAGCUCUGCUCGAGUUAUGGACAGUAAAAUUACAACAUUACAACCUUUGCUCUCCACGGUCACGGAACUGCUAUAUAUGUCCCAAAUAAAACUUCAUUAAGUUCAAGAUGUAAUAAUGCAUUUGUGCUUCUGCAUUGUGCCUUUCAUUCAGCUUCCAUUAGGUGAUGCAUUGACAGGAUUUGGUCUGUCGUGUCUUUCAAUGCAUUCCCCCUUUCCUUUGCUCACUUAUUCCCCUGUCGCAGUCAUUGGACAACAGAAGACCGAACACUAGACUUCUGUUCCUGUUACUCUAGAGAAUGAAAAGAUUGUUCCCGGCCUGCCAAAACGACAUGGAUUCUCCAUUCCUCUGAGAAUUCCUUCUCUUCGUCCACAAAAGUGAUAAACACGCUCAAAUAAAAAACAAAAAAAACGCUGAGGUACACGGUGUCCGACUUCUCAACGGAGAUCUUUCAGCUGCUAAAACCAGUGUAAAGCUCAGAGACACUGAUGCCUCACUGAAAUCUUUCUCACACCGUUUCUCACACAAUGCCUGAAUGGGGCUUAGUGAAGGAGAAGGGGAGGGGAAUCUUUUCAGUUCUUCAAAUGCAACAAUAGUCUUUGUCUACAAUGUCCCUCCAUUCUUAUUGGGGUUACCGAAGGGGACGGGGUGGUGGGGCCCGGUUGCCAUGGUAACGGUGACAAAACAAGCCGGUCCCCAGAGCAAGAGAGAGACACACACACACAAAACAUGCUUCAAAUCUGGGACGGGAUCUCUGUAUCAAUCUCUGCAGUUUAGUUAGAGGAGAGUGUGUGUGCCAAAGGAGGAGGAAGAAAGGAAGGAUGGAUGGGUGGAAGAAAAGCCAGUGAAAAACACCGGAGCGGUAUAUAAAAGAGGGACGUUUGGACCAGGACUCGUCUGGAUAUCAUGAUGAACUCUGACACUCAGUACGAGGACUCUGUGUCUGUUAUGGUUCUGGAGAACAUCAAGAACAAGCUGUUGCACGCUUUCAGAACAUCGGCAGAACCGAGAGCAUCGGCUGAGACGGAUAGAGUGACUCCUCCAAGCGGGAAGAGUUUCCAGGUUAACGAAGAGCUCCGGAGAGCCAAAAUCGAUGGAGCCAUAACUUGGUUAAGAUCAGAACUGCUGGAGAUGCGGUCUCAGGAUCGACGGCUCGCUCAGACUCUUCUGGGACUCAAUAAGGAGAUCCAGAGGCUCCGACGGGAGAAUGGGUCCCUGCUCCUGGAAUCUGACAGCAAUGACCUCUGACCCCACAGACGACCAUGACCUCUGAUCCCACAGACGGCCUUGACCUCUGCGCCCUCAGACAGCAAUGACAUCUGACCCAACAGACGGCUGUGACCUCUGCCCCCACAAACAGCAAUGACCUCUGACCCCACAGAUGGCCAUGACCUCUGCCCCCACAGACGGCAAUGCCCUCUGCCCCACAGAUGACCAUCACCUCUGACCCAACAAACGGCCAUGACCUCUGCCCCCACAGAAGGCCAUGACCUCUGACCCCACAGACGGCAAUGCCCUCUGCCCCCACAGAUGACCAUGUUCUCUGACCCAUAGACAUAAUAUAUACAUAGACGCCCUAUUGGCCGCUUUGGAACGUUGCUGCGAUACGUCAACGGGUCGGCCAUUUUGCGGAGGUCAAGAGUGCACUGUAAUUAAAUAUGACCAUGACCUCUGACCCCACAGACAGCAAUGACCUCUGUGAGGAGAAGCAGAAGGAAGCUCCUCUCUGCUGGUUCUCGGAGCCCAAGGCUUAUUUCCACACGUCUUCAGGGAAAAGAUUCUGAGGGCAUUUUCAUGUAGGCCUACGCAAAACCUUGACCAAAUAUCAGGCAAACUGGGUGCUAAGAUUUAUAUUCAAAACCACUGACACCCCUCUUUACACCCGGCAUCAACACGUGUUAUGGGCGAUCAGAUCACAGCACUGGAUCAACACAGUGUGACCAGAUCGCUGACACCUGGAGAUGCUGUACAUUGUUUAUAUAUACGUAUAUGAAUUUACAUGUUUCUGCCAGAUGUAAAAAGGGGACCAAAGAAAAGCCUUAUAAAGGCUAUUAAGACUUUUUUUAAAGCAUGCUUGAGAUAGAAACAAGUUUUAUGAUUAAUUUGUGUACAGAAGAUGUAGCUCUUUGUUCCGUUAUGUGGCUGUAUGACUGGAAAACCAAGUGUUGUUUUUUCAGCUUUGAACACAUUUGAACAAUUAGCAUAGCAUAAUUAGCAUAGCAAUGUGCAUGAAGCACGUCAUCAUCUGUUUAUUAAAAUGUCUUGAUGAUUAAAA